AGCUCCAAUAGCGUAUAUUAAAGUUGUUGCAGUUAAAAAGCUCGUAGUUGGAUUUCUGUUGGGUAUAACCGAUCUGCAGUAUUGUGGAUUUGGUACCGCUCAGCAUCCUUCUGGUUUGCAUAUUCCACUUAACUGUGUGAGUAUGUAUUUCCAGGAAUUUUACUUUGAGAAAAUUAGAGUGUUUCAAGCAGGCUUGUUGCCUUGAAUACUACAGCAUGGAAUAAUAAGAUAGGAUUUCGGUUCUAUUUUGUUGGUUUCUAGGACUGAAGUAAUGAUUAAUAGGGACAGUUGGGGGCAUUCGUAUUUAACUGUCAGAGGUGAAAUUCUUAGAUUUGUUAAAGACGAACUACUGCGAAAGCAUUUGCCAAGGAUGUUUUCA
rnacentral:rRNA from 1 species